rnacentral:rRNA from 1 species
GUACAUGCCUACACCAUAGCAUUAAUGCACCAAAUCCCAUAAGAACUCUAUAGUUAAGUACGCUCGGGCUAGAGUAGUACUGGGAUGGGUGACCGCCCGAGAAGUCUAGUGUUUUACAUG